GGAGAGAUGGCCGAGCGGCCGAAGGCGGCGGUUUUGAAAACCGCUUUGGGGCAACCCAACGGGGGUUCGAAUCCCUCUCUCUCCGCCA
rnacentral:tRNA from 1 species